CCUACGGGAGGCAGCAGUGAGGAAUAUUGGGCAAUGGGCGCAAGCCUGACCCAGCAACGCCGCGUGAAGGAAGACGGCUUUCGGGUUGUAAACUUCUUUUGUCAUGGAAGAGUAGAAGACGGUACCUGACGAAUAAGCCACGGCUAACUACGUGCCAGCAGCCGCGGUAAUACGUAGGUGGCAAGCGUUGUCCGGAUUUAAUGGGUGUAAAGGGCGUGUAGCCGGGUUGACAAGUCAGAUGUGAAAUCCUGCGGCUUAACCGCAGAACUGCAUUUGACACUGUUGAUCUUGAGUACUGGAGAGGCAGAUGGAAUUCCUAGUGUAGCGGUGAAAUGCGUAGAUAUUAGGAGGAACACCAGUGGCGAAGGCGGUCUGCUGGACAGCAACUGACGGUGAGGCGCGAAAGCGUGGGGAGCAAACAGGAUUAGAUACCCUUGUAGUC
rnacentral:rRNA from 1 species